AUGGCGUGCUACCCUUGCAACCCGCUCCCCCAUCUACGUCCUGGCACUACCAUCAUCGUCCCUGGUCCGCUCCGUGCUCGCCGUGGCUACGUGGUGCUGGGUGGCGAGCUAACCAUGGUCUACGAUGAGUGGGCCAUCGCCACUCUGACUCCGGAUGUUUCUGCUGAAGAAUUCCACGGCGCCAUUGCUUUGAUCUCCAACUUCCUUGAAGACCGUGGCUGGCGUAUUAACUACACUUCCAGAUGUGGUAUGGGUACCGCUCUAAUCCAGUUUACUACUGCUUGCUCCCGCGAUACUGCUGUUAGCAAUAGUCCUUAUGAGAUUGGGGAUUCAGUGUUGAGGAUCACUAGGCAAGAUAGAGGUAUCAACUAUCAUAGCAUUACGUUCACCCACGAUGUAUGGAUUAUGUUGAUGAAUUACCCUCUGGAGUGCUGGGAUGUUGGCGUUGUUAGUCGUACUGUUUCCCCUUAUGGCAGAUUCUUGAUCUGGAAUAAAGACCUGAGAGAUAAAACCAGGAUCAUCAUCAAAAUCAGGGUUGUAAAUUUUGAUACUAUCCCCAUUAGCAUUGUUGUCCUCCGUAAUCUGGAUGAUGUGGGAUACGGGGACUCUUGGACAUGUCCAACUUAUAUCCUCUCGCGUGAACUGAUUGGCCAGCAGGGUGGAGAUGAAGAUCCUCUCCCACCGGAUGGAGGUAACCCUCACCCCCUCCCUCAUGUGCACGGAGGAUUUUGG
rnacentral:rRNA from 1 species